GACGGAGGGUGCAAGCGUUGUUCGGAAUUACUGGGCGUAAAGGGUUUGUAGGUGGCUUGCUAAGUCAGACGUGAAAUCCCUCAGCUUAACUGGGGAACUGCGUCUGAGACUGGCAAGCUUGAGUGCAGGAGAGGAACGCGGAAUUCCAGGUGUAGCGGUGAAAUGCGUAGAUAUCUGGAGGAACACCGGUGGCGAAAGCGGUUCUCUGGGCCUGACCUGACGCUGAGGAGCGAAAGCGUGGGGAGCGAACAGG
rnacentral:rRNA from 1 species